CGGUACCUGAAGAAAAAGCAUCGGCUAACUCCGUGCCAGCAGCCGCGGUAAUACGGAGGAUGCAAGCGUUAUCCGGAAUCAUUGGGCGUAAAGGGUCCGCAGGUGGCGAAUAAAGUCUGCUGUUAAAGACCGGGGCUUAACUCCGGAAAGGCAGUGGAAACUGAUUAGCUAGAGUAAGGUAGGGGUAGAGGGAAUUCCCAGUGUAGCGGUGAAAUGCGUAGAUAUUGGGAAGAACACCGGUGGCGAAAGCGCUCUACUAGGCCGAAACUGACACUGAGGGACGAAAGCUAGGGUAGCGAAAGGGAUUAGAUACCCCUGUAGUCUUAGCGGUAAACGGUGGAUACUAGGUGUAGCUUGUAUCGACCCGAGCUGUGCCGAAGCUAACGCGAUAAGUAUCCCGCCUGGGGAGUACGCACGCAAGUGUGAAACUCAAAGGAAUUGACGGGGGCCCGCACAAGCGGUGGAGUAUGUGGUUUAAUUCGAUGCAACGCGAAGAACCUUACCAGGGCUUGACAUGUCGCGAAUCUAGCGGAAACGUUAGAGUGCCUUAGGGAAUGCGAACACAGGUGGUGCAUGGCUGUCGUCAGCUCGUGUCGUGAGAUGUUGGGUUAAGUCCCGCAACGAGCGCAACCCUCGUCCUUAGUUGCCAAUAUUAAGUUAGGCACUCUAGGGAGACUGCCGGGGACAACUCGGAGGAAGGUGGGGAUGACGUCAAGUCAGCAUGCCCCUUACGUCCUGGGCUACACACGUACUACAAUGGUUGGGACAAAGGGCAGCAAGCUCGCGAGAGUAAGCGAAUCUCAUCAAGCCCAGCCACAGUUCAGAUUGCAGGCUGCAACUCGCCUGCAUGAAGUAGGAAUCGCUAGUAAUCGCAGGUCAGCAUACUGCGGUGAAUUCGUUCCCGGGCCUUGUACACACCGCCCGUCACACCAUGGAAGCUGGCUACGCCCGAAGUCGUUACCCUAACCCGGUUUUGGGAGGGGGAUGCCGAAGGUAGAGCUAGUGACUGGGGUGAAGUCGUAACAAGGUAGCCGUACCGGAAGGUGUGGCUGGAUCACCUCCUUUACAGGGAGACCUAGUCUAAUUACCAAUAGAUGAAAAAGUUGGUAAUUCGCAAGAAUCCUUAGGUCGUGAAGGGAGCAAGAAAAAACUUUCAAACUGUAAUGGGUGAGGGUCAACGGGCUAUUAGCUCAGGUGGUUAGAGCGCACCCCUGAUAAGGGUGAGGCCCCUGGUUCAAGUCCAGGAUGGCCCACCUAAAAUACACAGGCAUCCUGCCUGUGCCACAAAAAAAGGAAAAAGUUUUGGCAUUGUCUCUUGUAAUCAAGAGCAAGAGAUAAUGCUGGAAUAGAUUCCAGCAAGA
rnacentral:misc_RNA from 1 species